CCAAAAGAUUCUGAUUUAAUGGAUAAAACAUGUGACCAUGUAAUUUGAAUACAUAAUGAACAAUAAAAACACUCCUCCAUCUAUUAAUACCAGACACACACCCACACUUUCUACAACAAUAACCCACCUCUCAAAUACCCACACGAAUCCACUGCUAAAUACCCUCACCCUCGACUUCUCUCUCCCUCACCUUCAAUAAGCAGACACCAAACAAGCACCCCCACUCUCUCUCUUUUUCAAGAUUAGCAAACACAGGAGCCAUCAAGCUUCUCCGGCGUCCCGAUUUCCGGCGAUAUACGCCCCCCCCCAUUUCGAGCAACAAAACGAGCCACCACCACCACCACUGUUCGGUGGUGGUGAACGGCGGCAGCGGAACCAGAAGAGAGAGAAACGAGGAGAGAGAGAGACUCGGGAGGAGAGAGAGAGCUCGGGAGAGGAGAGAGAAACGAGAGAGAGAAAGCGCCGGAGAAGGAGCAGCACCGCCGUGAGCGGCGGUGGCAGUGGAGUGCGGCGGUGGUUGCUUCUCGGACCGGUGGUCCUUGACUCGGACCGGCGGUCCUUGUCUCGGUCCGACGAAUAUUCCGAGAAGAUGAUGAUGAUGUUGAAUAUGGUGGUGGUCGACGACGGCAUGACCACCGGAGUCACCAGAACCGGCGACGGCGACAGAGGUGAUGGUUAUUCGGUUCAGGUUCGGUUUCAUUUCGAGUUCGGGUAAACAUGAUUCAGUUUAGGCUCGGUUCUGACCUAUUGAUUUCAGUUUUGGUUCGGUUCAAUAUAUUUGAUUUCAAGUCAAAUGGGUCGGCUCAUUCUCAGGUUCGAGUUAUGAAGUCAACAAGACAACAUGGAUUAGGUUCUGGUUCGGUCAGAUGGCUCGGUUCGGUUGACUCGGUCAACUCACCGAGUCAACCGAGUCAACUCAGUCAACAGAUGGGUUCGGGUUCGACUCAGUGCACUUCGCUUCGAUUCAGUCCAACUCGGUUUCGACUCGGUAUAUUUUGGUCAACUCGGUCAACCUGGUCAACUCAGCGAGUCGACUCGGUCAACUCAGUUGACCCGGUCGACUCAGUCAACAUUUUUGGCGUUACAACAUUAGAAAUUUGAAUGCACGCUAGCGAGUCUCGUCUUGGAAACGACAUCACGAAG